UACAGAGGUCUCAAGCGUUGUUCGGAUUCAUUGGGCGUAAAGGGUGCGUAGGCGGCGCGGUAAGUCGGGUGUGAAAUCUCGGGGCUUAACUCCGAAACUGCAUUCGAUACUGCCGUGCUUGAGGACUGGAGAGGAGACUGGAAUUUACGGUGUAGCGGUGAAAUGCGUAGAUAUCGUAAGGAAGACCAGUGGCGAAGGCGGGUCUCUGGACCUGACCUGACGCUGAGGAGCGAAAGCGUGGGGGAGCGAACAGG
rnacentral:rRNA from 1 species